rnacentral:rRNA from 1 species
AUUGAACGCUGGCGGCAUGCCUUACACAUGCAAGUCGAACGGCAGCAUGGAGAGCUUGCUCUCUGAUGGCGAGUGGCGAACGGGUGAGUAAUGCAUCGGAACGUACCGUGUAAUGGGGGAUAACGUAGCGAAAGUUACGCUAAUACCGCAUACGACCUGAGGGUGAACGCAGGGGAUCGCAAGACCUUGCGUUAUACGAGCGGCCGACGUCAGAUUAGCUAGUUGGUGAGGUAAAGGCUCACCAAAGCGACGAUCUGUAGCGGGUCUGAGAGGAUGAUCCGCCACACUGGGACUGAGACACGGCCCAGACUCCUACGGGAGGCAGCAGUGGGGAAUUUUGGACAAUGGGGGCAACCCUGAUCCAGCCAUGCCGCGUGAGUGAAGAAGGCCUUCGGGUUGUAAAGCUCUUUCGGCCGGGAAGAAAUCGCACAGGCUAAUACUCUGUGUGGAUGACGGUACCGGCAUAAGAAGCACCGGCUAACUACGUGCCAGCCGCCGCGGUAA